AGCAGCCGCGGUAAUUCCAGCUCCAAUAGCGUAUAUUAAAGUUGUUGCAGUUAAAAAGCUCGUAGUUGAACUUCGGGGUCUACCCAUUGGUCAGGCUUAAUUGUCUGCACUGGUGGGAUGGAUCUCUACCUUCUGAGGAACUUUCAUGCCAUUUAUUUGGUGUGAUUGGAAAUCAGGACUGUUACUUUGAAAAAUUAGAGUGUUUAAAGCAGACUAUCGUCUGAAUACAUUAGCAUGGAAUAAUGAAAUAGGACGGACUGAUUCUAUUUCGUUGGUUUCUAGGAUCACCGUAAUGAUUAAUAGGGAUAGUUGGGGGCAUUAGUAUUCAAUUGUCAGAGGUGAAAUUCUUGGAUUUAUUGAAGACUAACUACUGCGAAAGCAUUUGCCAAGGAUGUUUUCAUUAAUCAAGAACGAAAGUUAGGGGUCGAAGACGA
rnacentral:rRNA from 1 species